AAUCACGUGUGCCCAUUGACGUUUAUACACCUUGGCCUUGUACAUACCGUCAUGCCUUUCGGUAGCUCAGACGACAGCCGCUAGCUGAGACGACACAACUGUGACAGUCUUGCGGAGGAGCGGAAGGCUGAAAGAUGGCGUCACCGACGGCACCCUUGACCAUGAUGCUCCGACUGCUUGCCCUGUGCUGGCACACGGUUGAAUUCUUUUUCAAACAACAGAUAAUGGCCCGUCUGUCCACGUCCGUGCGGGAGGACCUGAUUGACGGUAUCGGCUCUGUGAUGGGCGGCACUGGCAUCAGCAGAGAAGACUACUCACAAAGCAUUCAUAGCCUCGAAUACGUCAGCACCUACUUCCGGUCGAGAUACUUGAACAUUCUGAAAACAGCCACUCUCAACGACAAGGCUCCCAACCCGGAAGUGAUUCUGUUAGACGGGCAGACAAGAAGGAAGCUUCUAGAUUUCGGGAAGAAGGAUCGCCCCCUGGUGUUGAACUUCGGUAGCUGCACCUGACCCCCGUUUAUGGUAAAGAUGGCGAGAUUUAAUGAGAUCGUUGCUGACUUUACCAACAUGGCGGACUUUUUGAUUGUGUACAUUGAAGAAGCACAUCCUACUGAUGGGUGGUUCUUCAAAAACAAUAUAGAUAUCCAGAAACACAACUCCCUGGAGGAUAGGGUCGCAGCAGCGAAGCGCCUCGGUGAACUGAAACCCUGCGAUUGUGAUAUUGUAGCGGACAACAUGGAGGAUGGAGCUAACAAGCAGUAUGGCGGCCUGUACGAGCGUCUGUAUAUAGUGCUGAACGGGGUGGUUCUGUAUGAGGGCAUGCCAGGGCCAAUUGGAUAUAACGUGGAGGAGGUGUAUGACUGGUUAGCCAAAUACAGAGGAGACCAAUAGGGAGGUUGCAUGAUAUAAACAGUAAUAUGUUCAAAGGGCAGUUUAAUGUUUUAAGGUAUCUUUAAUGAUUUGGUAAAUCCAUUUUUUGUCAUGUCAUCGAGGCUUUCUUAAAACAAAUGAUCUAUUCAAAGGAAAGUGAACAAAAAUAAGUUCUCCAUUACACUAAUUACAAUGUCUAAAUAUCUACAAUGUCCAAUGCAUUAAGCCAAUAACAAUGUCUAAAUAUCUACAAUGUCCAAUGCAUUAAGCCAACUACAAUGUCUAAAUAUCUACAAUGUCCAAUGCAUUAAGCAAACUACAAUGUCUAAAUAUCUACAUUGUCCAAUGCAUUAAGCCAAUUACAAUGUCUAAAUAUCUACAAUGUCCAAUGCAUUAAGCCAAUUACAAUGUCUAAAUAUCUACAAUGUUCAAUGCAUUAAGCCAAUUACAAUGUCUAAAUAUCUACAAUGUCCAAUGCAUUAAGUCAAUUACAAUGUCUACAUAUCUACAAUGUCCAAUGCAUUAAGCCAAGUACAAUGUCUACAUAUCUACAAUGUCCAAUGCAUUAAGCCAAUUACAAUGUCUAAACCUAAACUAGAAAUUAACUGCAAAUACUAGACCUAUACAAGAAACUAAUUACGGUUUCACAACCUCUACUACAAAACACUUGCAAUGUUUAGACCUUUACUGACGGACAAAAGAAAGUAAACACCUAUGUGUGAUGCUAGCAAUAACUGAAACAAACAAGAGAUGGUAUUCGGUGGUGAUGAAUAUGAUGUGGGUAUCACAGUUGCGUUUUGGACCUUAAAUUUACAGUUUUUUUGCGGCUGUUUUCAGCCAAGUAACGUUUUCAUAACGUUAGUAAUUGUUUGAUCAAAUCCAAUUUCAAGUGUAUACUUUCGUUUGCCCACCAGUGUUUAUUAGUAACUUUGAGCAUCUAGUUUUAUACAAUAAGCUUAUUAUUACAUACUAUACUAUUAUAUACUAGAAACUAAUGAACUAAUUACACUGUUUAGACCCAUACUAGAAACUAUUUAUAAUGUCAAAACAUAUACGAGAAACUGAUUACAAUGUAACAUCUAUUCUUUAGCAUUGAUUAAAUGGAUUUCGUUUUACUUAAUGACAUAGUUUUGUCUAUGUGUACUUUUCAAUGGAACUGUAGUGUUAUGGCAAUCACAUAUUACUGAACAAUAAAAUUGCAAAAGGGAAAAAGUAACCAGAAUAUAUUUUAAGCUGAAGGAAAAAGAUAACACAUACAUUUAUAAUGCACCUUCUAACAGAUACUAAUUAUUGUGUCAUGCCACGGCUCACCUUAUUCCGCUCACCUGAAUGUUCUAUAGCGUGUGACGUCACUGUUGCAAAAUGACAAGGGCUGCAGAGACUGAGGUUACUGUUCACAUCACUGAGGAGAAUGACGUGCCAGCACGUGCUGAAGGUGUAUUGUAAAAGUAAUUGGGCAUUUCUUUCUUUUGUUAAAAUAUUGACUUUUAAAUCAUUAUAUUUUCAAACCAUUUCUCUUCUCUCCCACAUAACGUAUACAGGACGAGCAGUUCUUGUAAACUUCCAGGAUAAGAGGUCGACCAUUUUUCUCCAAAACUUCUUGAAAAAAAUAAUUAGGCUUGCAAUGUAUUUUUUUGAAACAAAAACUGGGCUCACAGUUUUAAUUUUAAAAAUAUCUGUUUUUGCAGCUGUUUCUUAAAAAUAAUAUCUGGUCACAAUACACAAAAUACACAGAAUGUCAAAUGGUCCGUCCUCUUUGUAUGCAUCUUUAAAUAGCCAACGUUAUCAUUCAUGGCUAUUGUUUUUGAGGAAACGAGCGCAUCUUGAAGUUGACUGGCAUCUUUUUUCUGAAUAAACGUUCGAUUCAA
rnacentral:misc_RNA from 1 species